rnacentral:rRNA from 1 species
GACCCGGGCGCACGGGUGCGUAACGCGUAUGCAAUCUACCUUUUACAGAGGGAUAGCCCAGAGAAAUUUGGAUUAAUACCUCAUAGUAUUAUGAAAUGGCAUCAUUUUAUAAUUAAAGUCACAACGGUAAAAGAUGAGCAUGCGUCCCAUUAGCUAGUUGGUAAGGUAACGGCUUACCAAGGCUACGAUGGGUAGGGGUCCUGAGAGGGAGAUCCCCCACACUGGUACUGAGACACGGACCAGACUCCUACGGGAGGCAGCAGUGAGGAAUAUUGGACAAUGGGCGCAAGCCUGAUCCAGCCAUGCCGCGUGCAGGAUGACGGUCCUAUGGAUUGUAAACUGCUUUUGUACGAGAAGAAACACUCCUAUGUAUAGGAGCUUGACGGUAUCGUAAGAAUAAGGAUCGGCUAACUCCGUGCCAGCAGCCGCGGUAAUACGGAGGAUCCAAGCGUUAUCCGGAAUCAUUGGGUUUAAAGGGUNCCGUAGGCGGUUUAAUAAGUCAGUGGUGAAAGCCCAUCGCUCAACGGUGGAACGGCCAUUGAUACUGCUGAACUUGAAUUAUUAGGAAGUAACUAGAAUAUGUAGUGUAGCGGUGAAAUGCUUAGAGAUUACAUGGAAUACCAAUUGCGAAGGCAGGUUACUACUAAUGGAUUGACGCUGAUGGACGAAAGCGUGGGUAGCGAACAGGAUUAGAUACCCUGGUAGUCCACGCCGUAAACGAUGGAUACUAGCUGUUGGGGGCAACUUCAGUGGCUAAGCGAAAGUGAUAAGUAUCCCACCUGGGGAGUACGUUCGCAAGAA